AUGCUCACUUCAGCAGCACACGUACUGAAAUUAGAACAAGACAGAGAAAAUUAGCACGGUCCCUGCACAAGCAUUGUGUGCAAAUUCAUGAAGCAUUCCAUAUUUUC